UCCAAAACAGAGACAGAGAGAAGCUUUGUGAGUCCACCCUGAGAGAGGCCGCCCCCUUCUUGCUGCGUCCAACGAGCCAGGAAUGUCAAUAGGGCCGAGGCUGGGGACAGGAGCCCCUGGCUGCAGUCACAACCCCCCCUGGAGCUCCUGGGGGCAGAAAGUGACCACAUCCUAUCGACAGAGGCCCCAGCAGUGUCCCCUGCCUUGGAAGAGGGCAGCCUGGCAGCAGCAGGGCUGGAGUUAGAGAGGAGCCGGAGCAGCAGAGGCUGGACAGGUGCCGGCGGCUUCCGCCUUCCCUCGGCUGCCUUCAGGUUCUCACUUAGUCGCCGAGGGCCUCGUUAAAUCGCUAAGGCUGGCCUCAAAUCUGCGAUCCUCCUGCCUCGGCUCCCUGAAUUGCUGGGAUUAUAGGGGUGCACCACCAAGACCGGCUCCGCUUCCGCUUUUCUUAGGAGCAGAGAUCAGAGGAAAGAGGGACGAUGUCUCUUGGCCCCUGUCUGUUUGCCCCAUGAAGCGAGCUUCGCCAGGGCCCUGUGGCACCCAUCACGGUGGCAGGGAGGCCAGAGGGGCCCUGGCCAGAUGCUCUGCGUGGGGUACAGGGACCAGCCUGGCCUCUGGAGGGAGGCACUUUGCUGCUGAGGUUAGAGGAGAGAUAACUGGAAAUGUCUCCUUGGAGUAAGGCCCCUGGGGCUCUCGUCUGACCCCUUCUUCAUGGGGACAAGGGGCCAGAGGUCUUAGGAGCACCUUGGGGGACUGAGCGCACAGGCCCUCCCCUAGUGCCUUGCUCCAGGUGUUCACCAGCCACCAGUGGGCCCUCCAGGCUGCUCUCCGGGAGCAGCACCUCCGGCCUCACCCCCACGGCCCCUCUCGACAGGCCCCUGAACUCCUUCUGGAAAGAGCUGCCCCUGAGGCUGAAGCCGGCUCCCUGCUCAGCAUCACGUCCCUGGCCCGGAGGACUCAACGUUUCUAACAGAACCAGCAUCUCAGUCCAGAGCGCCAGCAGAGUUGCCCGGGCUCCUAUCGCUGUUUCUGACUUUUGGACCAAGUAUGUGGCAGGACCACUCAGGGCAGCCCGUUCCCGUCCAGUGUGGACCUUGCUGACUUGGGGAAGGUGACAGGGGCCCUGCCGGCCUUCACAGCUGUCCUCACCCAAGGCCCAGUGUCCUGAGCCUCAGCCUCAUGGAAGGUCCGAUGUUCCCGAGUCUCUGCUUGUCCAUAUCCUAUCUUUUGUUCAAUCUCUUUCUUGUUCGGCUGCAAAUUCCUCCAGGGCAAGGCUCUGGCCUUGUUGGUCUCUGUGCAGACUGAGCCCCCAGCACAGAUGCCUUCUAAGUGUUUGCUGAAUAAACGAACCAAGUCUUUCUCUGCUG